UAAAACCUUCAGACUGUCCUGAAGUAGCCAUCAGUACACGCAUUUAGUGAAGAAUUCAAAACUGCGUCUUUGUGUCUUCAUUUAUUAAUGCAUUUGCACCAUUUUGUGCCUUUGUGAGCUUAACUGUGCAAACUACUCGCAUUAGAUGGCUAGCUCCAACUCAUGGGAAAGACAUCAUCAUCUUCAACUCACAAAUUGAGGUUGUUGGAUUUGAUAACUCAAAUGGUUGCGUCGAAAACAGGAUUGAGCGUGUUCACACUAAAAACUCAAUCAAGAAAGUUUUUUCAAUCUAAAUUAUUUAUAAAAAUCGUACUAAUUGACCACCGUUUAAUAAUUAAAGCAUUGGAGAAAACUGAGGAAAAGAAACGUUGCGAAAACAGGUUGCUGAGUCUAAAGCGAUCAGGUGGAUAUUUGCACUUCUCGAAGUAUCAAAUCAAUAUAGGAUUUACAAAUGUAUGUGAUUUUUGCCUGUUUACUACAAUCAGAAGGUAUGAAUUUGCCGUUAUGAAAUACCUGCCUGUCAACGAGCUGCGUUCAUACGUGUUAACAUUGAAUGAACACGGAACUAUUUACUGAAAAUAUUGAAAAUAUCUUAAAGGUUCCUUUUACGAUACACGAUAUAAAGCAGAACGACACCCUAGUGCAAAUAAACGCUGGUCUACCAUCGGCGGAAAGUUUUUUUACUCUGGCAAAUAUGUUGUCAAAGGAGGAAAUGAAAUUGCUCAUAGCUGGGUCGUCGGGCAACUGACGUUGAUGAAGUUGAAAAUUGGAGCGACGGACAUUCAUCUAUCGCAAAGAUUUAUAUGUUCGCUGGAAACUGUAGAGAAUACAGUUCUGACAUGGUUAUUCGCACUGGAAGAUAAACUGAUGAGAGUGAUAAUCGAUAUGUUCGACACUCGAAGAAGUCAGCCGGCCCGAAAGUCCUUUGUUUCUACACGCCAUCAGUGUUAGAACGAAACCUCCAAAAAACCAUCAUAUCCAGCAUUCCCCACCGGUGGAAACAUUGAACGCUGUGCUUCUAUCAUCAGUUGACGGUUUGGUGAUGUACACAACUGAUUUGUAAGGUGGAUCACGUCCAGAACACAUAUCGUUAAUGAAUGUGAGGGCCUUGAAUGGGUGUCUCCUGGUGGUGUAAUAGCCACAGACCGCGAUUUACUCAUCGGUCUGGUGGAUGUCCACGGCGAAGAGGCUUUGUCGGUCGACUUUAGCCCUAGUCGUGUGAGGUUGGCACGGGAGGAUGUGGAGAAGAGGCUGAUGAACUUCUUCAUUUUGAGAGAUGUUCCAGCAAAUCUAAUGGACUACGCGUCUACCGUACUAGAAGUGGCCGUAUUGCUUAUGAAUUAUGGGCACUUAACACCUUCAUGAAAGCAUAAAACCACGUGCCGAUUAAUUGUGUAAGACAUGUUGGCAAUCGUCAUCUUGUAAAUGACUGAAGUUCGUAGGAGAUACGACGCACCACGGUGUAUAA